UACGUAGGUGGCAAGCGUUGUCCGGAAUUACUGGGCGUAAAGAGCUCGUAGGCGGUUUGUCGCGUCGUCUGUGAAAUCCCGCAGCUCAACUGCGGGCUUGCAGGCGAUACGGGCAGACUUGAGUACUGCAGGGGAGACUGGAAUUCCUGGUGUAGCGGCGAAAUGCGCAGAUAUCAGGAGGAACACCGGUGGCGAAGGCGGGUCUCUGGGCCGAUACUGACGCUGAGGAGCGAAAGCGUGGGGAGCGAACAGG
rnacentral:rRNA from 1 species